rnacentral:rRNA from 1 species
UUUAAAAUAGUCUUUGUACCUAGCAGUAUCCUGAGUACGGCGGGACACGUGAAAUCCCGUCGGAAUCUGGGAGGACCAUCUCCCAACCCUAAAUACUCCCUAGUGACCGAUAGUGAACCAGUACCGUGAGGGAAAGGUGAAAAGCACCCCGGGAGGGGAGUGAAAUAGAACCUGAAACCGUGUGCCUACAACAAGUUCGAGCCCGUUAAUGGGUGAGAGCGUGCCUUUUGUAGAAUGAACCGGCGAGUUACGUUAUGAUGCGAGGUUAAGUUGAAGAGACGGAGCCGUAGGGAAACCGAGUCUGAACAGGGCGAAUUAGUAUCAUGACGUAGAC